CCGGCCUCACAGGCCUGUCCAUCUGCAAGAUGUGCCACCCCUGGGCAUACAUCUUCAGCGACAGUCACAGCCGGGUCCUAGAGCAGCUCCGAGGGAAUGUCCUUCUCAAUGGCCUCUCAUUAGAGGCAGACAUCACUGCCAACUUAGCCCCAGGGUGACAGUGACCCAGCUGGACUGGGACGUAGCGACAGUCCAUCAGCUCUCUGCCUUCCAGCCAGAUGUUGUCAUUGCAGCAGACGUGCUGUAUUGCCCAGAAGCCAUCGUGUCGCUGGUCGGGGUCCUGCGGAGGCUGGCUGCCUGCCGGGAGCACCAGCGGGCUCCUGAGGUCUACAUGGCCUUUACCGUCCACAACCCAGAGACAUGCCAGCUGUUCACCACCGAGCUAGGUGAGCCCCCACGCCCACCCGGGCCUGCAUGGUCCCCGAGCUGUCCCUGCAGGACUCCAGUGGAAGUGAAAGAACUGGGCGCCAGCGAAAAGCUAGGAUGCCCCACACUCCCACAUCAUGCGGGGAACUCGGGCAGAGGCCGGUGAGCAGGGUGGGCUUGGGGCGUGGGGGUCUUGUGGCAGGAGGAGGGCAGCUCAGCACCGGGAGGGAGGGUCUGAGCCCAGCAGCCCUACUAUGUGCUUCAGAGCAGGGUUCCCUAAGCCCUUGGGCCUCGGUUUCCUCAUCUAUAAAAUGGAGGUGGCGGGAGGGGCAGUCGGGGUCAGGGCUGGACACAGCUGUGGCCUGCAGGAUGCUGGAGCACAGGCUGUACUGGCG
rnacentral:lncRNA from 1 species